rnacentral:rRNA from 1 species
UACGAAGGGGGCUAGCGUUGCUCGGAAUCACUGGGCGUAAAGGGCGCGUAGGCGGCUGUUCAAGUCGGGGGUGAAAUCCCGUGGCUCAACCACGGAAUGGCCUUCGAUACUGGACGGCUCGAGACCGGAAGAGGUGAGUGGAACUGCGAGUGUAGAGGUGAAAUUCGUAGAUAUUCGCAAGAACACCAGUGGCGAAGGCGGCUCACUGGUCCGGUUCUGACGCUGAGGCGCGAAAGCGUGGGGAGCAAACGGG